rnacentral:lncRNA from 10 species
CGGACGGACAGACAGACGGAGCCACCAAGCGACCCGGCCGCAAGUGUCCGGAAACAGAAGAAUGGGAGUGUCAGUGGGGGAGUGUGACCGUGACGGCAGAGGCAAGGUCAGAGGACUGAAAAGAAAUUGAAAAGGAUUCUUCAUUAUGCUUCAUCUCUGCACUUGCCUUUUGGGCAUCAUCAACAUAGGAUUCAAAAGAUACUCAGCAUCAGAGCCGUAACAGUCUCGUGACUGACAAACUCUAAAUAAGUAUAGCAAAUAAUGAAUCCG